rnacentral:lncRNA from 1 species
AUCAUAAAAGAUUUUUGCCAUAGUUAAGAUUUACCUAAUAAACAUUGCCUUUCUUAAUUACUGUUAUUGCAACAUUAUCUGCUUCUGCUUUUGGUGAUACAGAGCAGCAGCAAGUGGAGGUGCUUUUGCACUGAGCUUAUUGUCUGAACAAGGGUUAUCUGGCCCUGUAAACCAGGCACAACAGGGAGACAAACCUCCAUUUGUUCACUGAAAGGAGGAGGGUGGCUGUAUACCUGCCUCCUGGUUACACCUGUAGGGCAGGUUGCCCUGCUGAAACUUCGCUGGCUGGGCCCUGGGAGCUGAAUGUCAAUAGUAACUGGACUCAGGACUGAGGUUUCUGUGCCUCCCACUUGCUGGUUAAGCCCUCAAGUAUGUACAUAAUCUCUCUUACACUGCUGUGGUGAAGUCGAAACUUGGCUUAUCACAGGGGCUAGAUUCUCCCAGAGCAUAUUUUAGAUAAGAGUAGAAAAUAUGCUAGGCCUGGCAUGAGCUGUGCUUAGGUAUAGAGGAGGUUUAUCUUUCGUUACAAAGAAAGAUGUGGUUUAAUUUGCCAGCCUCCUUGUGAGUAGGCCAGAAGGUAUAAAGAAAGCCUUUCUUACUCACCUGGCUUCAAUUUUUCAGCAAGUGAUUUGGAAGCAAGAACAAUGGUGACGGUUAUAUUGGCUCAUUUGUAAUGAGUAGAAUCUUAAGGUUCCACAUUUGUGUUUGUAUUGCCUGUUUCUUAGAAGCACUGCAGUCACAAAUGUCUGUUAGAAUCCCUUGAUCUUGGUCAAAGUGCUUAACCUCCCUCUGAGCCUCAGUUGUCUCAUCUGUAAAGGGUAAUACUGUUAGCACUCAGCUCACAGAGUUGGGUUCAGGAGUUAGUGUUCAAGUACUUAGAACAGUACCUGGUACAUGGUGUUAUAGAAGUGUUUGCAAAUGAAAAUAAACAAUGGAAAAUACUUUGUGUAAUUAAUUAUUUGAAGCAUCACUGAUAUUUUGAUGUGGUCUUUCUGGUUGCUGAAUAUUUAUUCAAGUACACAAAAAGUAAUCAUUAUAUCCAAAGAAGAGUUUGUAUUUAGGGUUUUUUUUCCUAAAUAUAUUGUCCUUGCUGUUCUUCCUAUUCCCUUUGCAGAGCAGAAGUAUCGGAAAACAGCAAGGGCAGGCACUCCCUUUUAGCAUUGGUUUGGCUAUGGUCAAACACAGGAAUUGUGAGUCAUGAACAACAAAUUAACAGGAAUGAGUCAAGGUAAAAUGGUGUCCUAGGGAUUGCGGUCAUUGACCGACUCACAGAUUUAUCAGAUCUUAAAGCAGCUUUCUUGACUUGUCCAUGGCUCCCCACAAGGUCCUUGGGUAGAAUUAGGAGACCCAUAAAUUUGGGUUGGGUAAAAAUAUCUACAUUUUUACUAAUCCCUACUGAACCUGAACAUUUUCUGCAGGUAAAAUGGCAGUAACCCAGGGUGGCAUACGAAAUAAUCAUGACUUGGUCACUACUGGGAAUCUUAGAUAUUUUAUUAUCUCAUGGUCUCAUUUAUGCUUAUCACUCCUUAAAAGUUACAGUAGUUACUAGACAUCACUAUUUAUGGUUCUUACAUGCCUUAAGAAAAAGCAUCAUUGUAUUAUAAGUUUAUUUUAAAAAUAUUUUGUUGACUUAUUUCAGUAUAAUUGGUUUCCUGUGUACUCUUCUUGUAUAUUUUAUCUUUUAUCAUUUAUGAAAGUUAUUCUCAUCAGUGCCAGAGGCCCUCACCAAACUGCCAAAGGAAUCCAGGCAGAAAAAAGAUGAAGGAGUUUUAAAACUCUGAAAGCUUAAGAGGACUUGAAUUUUCAGAGUAGCACUGUCCAGUAGAAAUAUAACGUGAACAACAUUUAAAAUGUUCUAGUAGCUACUUUAAAAAGAGUAAAAAGGAAAAGGUGACGUUAAUUUUAAUAAUAUAUUUCAUUCACAUGAAUGUAUAUAAAAUAUCAUUUCAGCAGGUUGCCAGUAUUAAAGUUAUCUAUCAGAUAUUUGAUUUUUCUUCCAUGUGGGUGUGUUGAGUCAGGUGUGUGUUUACACUUAGAAUCCAUCUUUUUUUGGAGCUACAGUUUCACUGAAAUUCUUACAUCUAACAAACUUCUGUUGCAAACAUGGUUUCAGGUGAUUCUCAACACAGUGAAAAGUUUGGGAUAUAAAAGUUUAACUACAUUGAAUAAUUUAAAUUCAAAUGAAUGAGGAUGAAAUAAAAUUUAAAAAUAUAGUUCCUCAUUCACAAGGAGCCAUGGAGUGAGUCCCAAGGGGCUGCAUGGGGCUGCUGAUAACUUUAUUAGACUUUGCUCCUCCAGUGAGAUUAGACACAGAACCGUCCCAGGAGAGCAUAGUGCUACACAGCGGGUUGGGGACAUUGCCCAGAAUGUAGAACAUCCUGUUCCUACUCUGAUGUGUUUAGUGAAGCAAGUGCCUGUUCAGGUUCUCUUUCAAGGCAACAUCUACAUUCUGCUUGUCCCAAAGGCCUGACCCUUUGAUGGUAACCACGGUCCUCAGUUGCUUCUGGGGUUUGGGCUGCCCCUGGGAAGCAUUUCCAUUUAUAUGAUGACUUUUGUGGAUCAGUGUGUCUUCCAGAAGCGGUGAUCUGCUGGACACAGUCUAGCCUUUUUAUUAGUUUUUGCAUCAUACCUUCUUUGACUAUCAUUCAACAGCUAGGGCAGGGUACAAGCCUGGUCUUUUAGUCUUUGGGAGAAUAGCAGGAGCUACACAUCCACAAGGAGGACCCCUACCACAGAGACUCUGAAGGACUUCUUGCUCCCAGGCCACUGGCUAGUGUUAGAAAUGUCUUUUCCUUUCCAAAACUGCACUGUGAACUUGAGCUAGGUGAUGAUGUAAUAAGAAAAAUAACUCCCAACCUGUUAGAUGUGCUGAGUUCAUGGUCUCACAACAUUGAGCAAUGAAGUCACGAGCCAAAGUGAAGAAAUUAGGACAGUCUUAUUGGAAAUAAGGAGAAUAGCUACUGGAUUUCCAGGAAGGGUUGCAUUCACCAUGUCACCAUUGAGGCUCUUUGUCAGGGGUAAUUUAUAUAGCAAAAUCACAACGUGGGUAUAACAUGGGUCAAACUACAAUCAACCUAAAGGAUUACAAGUAUGGUUGCUUAGCUAAUAUUGAUGCAAUAGGAAAGCAGGUCACAUAGUAAGGGUAUAUGGAGAGAACAAAGGCAUUCUAGGAGGGAAGUAUGGGUCUAGACGUUUUCAUCACCCUUCUGUGUGUGUGAUGCCUAUCUGGGCUCACUGGACCGGGUGGUGGUAAUUAUAGUAUAAUCUCAAGAUGCUGUUCAUCUGUAGGGAUGCAUGCAGGCCUGGCUUUCUUUAGAUUUGCCUCCAGCCGCAGUCUGUGUGUCUCUCUUCUGAGCUGACUUCUUGAGGGCCUAGCUUCUCUCUGACUGCAUAUUAAUUUUUAUCUCUUAGGUGUCUGUGAUAUUUUUAGCAGAUACUAAGUUACCCCUUGUGUGGUCUAGCUCUACUUUCAUCUCUUGUUUCUAUGACUUGGUACUUAAUGUGGUUUUUCAUUUCUUUUGAUUAAAAUUCACAUACUGUUGAAAAAAAUGAACCAGUAGUGUUACUAGUUUAAACAUAAUACUGGAUCCAAGAUAUGAAAGUUUAAGAAACUUUGUCCUUCAUAUAAAAGUAUAAGAACUUUGGAGUAAAGGUAGUGAUAUUACAAAUAAGGAGACUUUACUUCUGUGUCUCUUGUGGUAUAUCUUAGCACUUUGGAGAGAAAGUUGAGCUGUUUGGGGCCUUAGAGACCUGGAAGUGGGUCUCAUAUCAGCUGAACUGGACUAUCUGUUUAAUAUUGUACUGCUAGGGCAUCUGGAAGAGAAUAGAAGACACGACACGUUUCUUGCUCUUGAGUUAGACACUACACUUGAACAAGUUUAAAUGAUGAUAAAGAUGACAGUUAUAUUUGUAAGUGGAUUUUGGUUUUUCUUCCCAGUACUAGUGAUUGAACCCAAGUGCAGCAGUUGCACAUUGUUUUUUGUCUUUGUUUUUAAUGUGUAGACUAAACAGAAGCAGCAAUUUUUAGCCAAGUAGUAGUAGUAGUAGUAGUAGUAGUAAUAAUAAUAACAGAAAUAGAAGUUGGUAUUUAUAAAUUGAUUCAACAAAUACUUGGUGAGUGCCUACUGUGUGUCAAGUGCUAUCCUGGAGCAUAGGGACCCGAGUGCUGGGCACGGCUCGUGUGACUUUAUUAUGAAGGUGCUGGGAAUGUGUCAGUGGGUCACGGGCUCUCGACCAAGUCACUGCAUGUUGACAGAGUGAAUACAGCUGGUGCCUGGUGUCACUCUUGCUGUGAAGGCAGUGUGCAGCAUGGACACAUGCUUGGAUGUGGGAAAUGCUUAUGUCUAAGGACACAGACAGGGAGUGACAGCCAUUUCUUUGCAUAUCUUUUCCUCUGUGCUUCAUUGACUCUGCUCUUGUGGCUUUUUCAGGUUGGUGACUGAGCAACUGGAUGAGACUGGUUGAUUCAGUUCAUUUUUCUUUGGGAAGUAGAGUGGAGCUCCAUGAUUCGUGGAGUCUGUGGCAUCAUGAUC